GAUGAAGAACGCAGCGAAAUGCGAUAAGUAAUGUGAAUUGCAGAAUUCAGUGAAUCAUCGAAUCUUUGAACGCACAUUACGCCCGCCAGUAUUCUGGCGGGCAUGCCUGUUCGAGCGUCAUUACAACCCUCAGGCCCCCGGGCCUGGCGUUGGGGAUCGGCGGAAGCCCCCUGCGGGCACAACGCCGUCCCCCAAAUACAGUGGCGGUCCCGCCGCAGCUUCCAUUGCGUAGUAGCUAACACCUCGCAACUGGAGAGCGGCGCGGCCACGCCGUAAAACACCCAACUUCUGAAUGUUGACCUCGAAUCAGGUAGGAAUACCCGCUGAACUUAAGCAUAUCAAUAAGCGGAGGA
rnacentral:misc_RNA from 1 species